ACGAACGCUGGCGGCGUGCCUAAUACAUGCAAGUCGAGCGGAAUGAUGAAGAAGCUUGCUUCUUCUGAUUUUAGCGGCGGACGGGUGAGUAACACGUGGGCAACCUACCUUGUAGAUUGGGAUAACUCCGGGAAACCGGGGCUAAUACCGAAUAAUCCAUUUUGCUUCAUGGCGAGAUGUUGAAAGACGGUUUCGGCUGUCACUACAAGAUGGGCCCGCGGCGCAUUAGCUAGUUGGUAGGGUAAUGGCCUACCGAGGCGACGAUGCGUAGCCGACCUGAGAGGGUGAUCGGCCACACUGGGACUGAGACACGGCCCAGACUCCUACGGGAGGCAGCAGUAGGGAAUCUUCCACAAUGGACGAAAGUCUGAUGGAGCAACGCCGCGUGAGUGAAGAAGGUUUUCGGAUCGUAAAACUCUGUUGUAAGGGAAGAACACGUACGAGAGUAACUGCUCGUACCUUGACGGUACCUUAUUAGAAAGCCACGGCUAACUACGUG
rnacentral:rRNA from 1 species